AGGACGAACGCUGGCGGCGUGCCUAACACAUGCAAGUGGAGCGACGAACCAGGCUUCGGCCUGGGGCAGAGCCGCGAACGGGUGAGUAACACGUGGGUAACCUGCCCUGAUGAUUGGGACAACCCGAGGAAACUCGGGCUAAUACCGAAUGUGCCCUCUGGCCUCAAGGCCUCUGGGGAAAGGAGCUUCGGCCUCCGCAUCGGGAUGGGCCCGCGGCCCAUUAGCUUGUUGGUGAGGUAACGGCUCACCAAGGCAACGAUGGGUAGCUGGUCUGAGAGGACGAUCAGCCACACUGGGACUGAGACACGGCCCAGACUCCUACGGGAGGCAGCAGUGGGGAAUCUUGCGCAAUGCGCGAAAGCGUGACGCAGCAACGCCGCGUGGGGGAAGACGGCCUUCGGGUUGUAACCCCUUUCAGUUGGGACGAAGCUCCGCCGGUGAUAGCCGGCUGGAGUGACGGUACCUUCAGAGAGCCCGGCUAACUACGCGCCAGCAGCCG
rnacentral:rRNA from 1 species